rnacentral:rRNA from 1 species
AUGCAAGUCGAGCGGUAAGGCCCCUUCGGGGGUACACGAGCGGCGGACGGCUGAGUAACACGUAGGAACGUACCCCAAAGUGAGGGAUAAGCACCAGAAAUGGUGUCUAAUACCGCAUGUGGCCUUCGGGCUAAAGCUUUAUGCGCUUUGGGAGCGGCCUGCGCAUGAUUAGCUUGUUGGUGAGGUAAUAGCUCACCAAGGCGACGAUCAUUAGCUGGUCUGAGAGGAUGAUCAGCCAGACUGGGACUGAGACACGGCCCAGACUCCUACGGGAGGCAGCAGUAGGGAAUUUUCCACAAUGGGCGAAAGCCUGAUGGAGCAACGCCGCGUGCAGGAUGAAGGCUCUUGGGUCGUAAACUGCUUUUAUAUGUGACGAUAAUGACGGUAGCAUAUGAAUAAGGAUCGGCUAACUCCGUGCCAGCAGCCGCGGUCAUACGGAGGAUCCAAGCGUUAUCCGGAAUUACUGGGCGUAAAGAGUUGCGUAGGUGGCAUUGUAAGUUGGUAGUGAAAGCGUUCGGCUCAACCGAAUAAACAUUACCAAAACUGCAAAGCUAGAGGAUGAGAGAGGUUAUUGGAAUUCCCUGUGUAGGAGUGAAAUCCGUAGAUAUAGGGAGGAACACCGAUGGCGUAGGCAGAUAACUGGCUCAUUCCUGACACUAAGGCACGAAAGCGUGGGUAGCAAACGGGAUUAGAUACCCCGGUAGUCCACGCCGUAAACUAUGGAUGCUAGCUGUAAGAGGUAUCGACCCCUCUUGUAGCGAAGCUAACGCGUUAAGCAUCCCGCCUGUGGAGUACGGUCGCAAGACUAAAACAUAAAGGAAUUGACGGGGACCCGCACAAGCGGUGGAGCGUGUUGUUUAAUUCGAUG